UGCAAAGUGAUAGGUGACCACCAAUGUAAUA
rnacentral:piRNA from 1 species